AAAACACCAAGCUGCUUAUCCAAAAAAAAAAAAAAAAAAGCAAACCCUAAAACACAAAGCCAUAUUUCCUGACCGAAAGUUCAGACUCACUCUGACUUCCACCUCUUCGCUGCAACUCCAUAGACACACAGAUUAGAAUACCGUGUUCCAGACCAACAAGCAUACGAAAAAAGAAAAUCCAAAAGGAAGCGAAAAAAAAGACUUUGUUCAUCUUCUGCAACAGUGAAAACUGGAAAACUUUGUUUGUCCUCUGCAACAACAGGCGAUUUAGAAGCGAUUCAGAAGAUAAUUUAGAAGUUAUUUGGACUUUGACCACCAAAAAUCUUGCUUCCCUCAACCGGUGGUACUCUGUUACCGGCACCACCCAUCUUCAGCUCCAUUUAAUCAUAGCAUUGAUGGUGAUUUUGGUUUAGGGUUAUGUUUCUCUGCUUUGUUCGUUGUCUGCCCCCAUCACUUCUCUUCAACGUUGUAUUCGAAAGAUCAGUCAUCCUUAACAUAUAAGACUUAUGGCUACUAUUUGAGAAGAACUACUGAAUUAAAUUGAAAGGUUAGAAAAGCCUAAUUUUCCUUUGUAGCUAUUAUAGAAUUUUUGUUAAUGCCUGAUUAAAAAAAGGUAGAACUAAAAUAGUUUUGAAUAUUAUCAAAUAUGGACUCUUUGAUUCUAAAAAUAAAUGCUAAAACUUAUUUCUUUCCUUUACCAUGAUAUGAUGGCAAAAAAGAAAAAAAAAAUUAAAAUGCAAGAGAAGCACGCCUAAAAAGAUGAAUGCUAAUGUUUGAGAAACGAUCCAAAAGAAAAUGGCAUGAAAGAAAAAAUAGUUUACAAAAUAAACCUACCUAGGCUAGGAAAUUCAGGGGAAUGGACAUUGUUGAAAAAAAAAAAAAAUAAAAAAAAAAAAUAAAAAAGGAGGGAUAGUGCAGCAUUAACUCAUGACUGCUUUUUGUUGUAUUCACCUAGUACAAGUAUGAACCUUUUUGCGUCAAGAGGUUCGCUUCUCUUUCUACCACUUUGUACUUAUUAGUUCUUUAAACAUUCUUUUUUAAAAAUUUGAAAAUAAAACUUUCAAUUCACAUAUGAUUAUUAGAUAUUGAUGUUGACAUGGGCCAUUCCUUUGGAGAAACUAAGUUGAACGUGAGUACGGAUGAUACUUUGGUAGAAGAUGGGUCUAAUUGUUGUGAUGCUCCUCAAGGAAUCCAUGAAUAAGAAAAUGAGUGGUUGUGAAGAAUUUCCAAGUAAAUGACUUAACUAAAAUUUACAAGGGGAAAAAAAAAACUUGGCUUCCAUUUUUGUUCAUGUUAUUAAUGUUGUUCCUAUAUUUUAAAAUUCAUAUAGGAAAAUUUACUGAUCCUUGGAAUUUUGGCCCACCUUCUUUUGUAUGCAUGUAUUGCGGUUCAAUUUUAUGGUAUGAAGAGAGAAUAGUAAAAUCUAAGAGGCCUAGGAACUCAAAAUUCUCUCUCUGUUGUAUCUAUUUAAUUGUUAGUCUCUAUCUUUCAUACUAUUGAAUACUUUGUUUUGUAGAGUUAUUUUGGAACUCCGUGCAUCCAUCUUAAUUUCACUAAUUUUUGCUUAUAGGCUCAGGUUGUUGUUUUUCCUAUUAAAUAAGUAGUUUUGUACUCAAAGUUGUUGGUUUGUAAGUGAAUGGUUUGAUUCAAGUGCUAAUUUGAAGAUUUUAUUGAUUAAGGUAGAUCAAGAUCUUUUUUUCAUACCUAGGUGUGGGUAGACUCAUUACAUGAAGUUGAGUGUCUAUGUGUUGAAUUAGCAACAUGUGGAGGAUUUUUUAUAUUAUUUUUAAAAUGUAUUUGAACAAUGGUAAUUUACACCAUCUGUUUAGUGCACAUUUUUUAUAACCCGGAUUUGUUUUCUUUUCUUACAUGCUUGCUUUUUGUUUCCUUUAAAAAGAUGCAUGGAAUGCCAAGUUGCCUUUGUUUUUUUUUUUUUUUUUUUUUUUUUUUUUUGGUUUUUUUUCCCCUUUGAUGGUGAUGAUGCCGAAAAUCGUCAGUAAACCACACGAUACUCACGUGCUUAAGAUGAUACCUGCGAGACAAAAACAAAGAAAAACCUUAGGAGAGUACCGAUGUGGUACCGGCCAAAGACCCUCCAAAGGUUAAGUCAGAAAACCUUUCACAACUCUAGAGUGCCAGAGUUAGGGUGAAUUAUGUGUACCUUGUUUUCUGAGAGCCUUUAGGUUUUUAUAGUAGUGUAGAACCGACCUCUGUUUCUUGCGUAGGAAGGCGUUUCCUUAUGGAGAAGAUCAUCAUAUGGGCGUAUAUUAUGAGAUUCUCCUCAUGUUAGGAUUCUAUUCAUAUUGGGACACUAUUGACUAGGGUUAAUCGUGGGACACAAGUUGUUUCCAAUUAGGAUUACUUGGGGGUUACUUAAACCAUGUGGAUGCCACGUGGCCUUGAGACCCGUCCACCUUGUGUCCGCGCAUCUUGGAUCCGUCCACUGUUAGCCCACUAGUCUAGCACCGUCAGAUUUAUUUAAAUGGACCCGUUGUCCCUAAUUUUACCCUCUUCAGAUGGAAUGCCAUGUCGUCUUUGGCAAGAUGCUAUAUUGGAUGGAUGUCAUCUACAAGAGUGACGUAGAAGGAUAUAUUUAGUUAUUGUUUUGGGAUGUUAUUCUAUUUGGUCAAAGAGAACUUUUAAAUCCUCUAUUAUUGUUGAGA